UUAAACUUGUACUUUUUUCCCUUUUAUUUACUUUUCCUCUGUCUUGGCGUAUCUCUUACACAUUUGCAAUCUCUUUUCUGGUGUCUUGUCAUUGCCAAUCCCAUCCUAGAAAACCCUCCUUGUUACUUCACAUCUCCUAACUACCAUUUCAUAUUGUUCUAGGUUUGUAUACCCACCCUAACUGUCAAUUUAAAAUCUCUCCAAG